AUUGAACGCUGGCGGCAGGCCUAACACAUGCAAGUCGAGCGGCAGCGGGAAGUAGCUUGCUACUUUGCCGGCGAGCGGCGGACGGGUGAGUAAUGUCUGGGAAACUGCCUGAUGGAGGGGGAUAACUACUGGAAACGGUAGCUAAUACCGCAUAACGUCGCAAGACCAAAGAGGGGGACCUUCGGGCCUCUUGCCAUCAGAUGUGCCCAGAUGGGAUUAGCUAGUAGGUGGGGUAAUGGCUCACCUAGGCGACGAUCCCUAGCUGGUCUGAGAGGAUGACCAGCCACACUGGAACUGAGACACGGUCCAGACUCCUACGGGAGGCAGCAGUGGGGAAUAUUGCACAAUGGGCGCAAGCCGGAUGCAGCCAUGCCGCGUGUAUGAAGAAGGCCUUCGGGUUGUAAAGUACUUUCAGCGGGGAGGAAGGUGUUGAGGUUAAUAACCUCAGCAAUUGACGUUACCCGCAGAAGAAGCACCGGCUAACUUCGUGCCAGCAGCCGCCGUAAGAC
rnacentral:rRNA from 1 species